rnacentral:tRNA from 1 species
AAGUUUUUUCCUGGGGAAAGCUUGUCUUGAAAACAAGCUAAAAGUGUUCGAUUCACUUAAGAAUUUU